AUGUACAACUAUACAACUUCAGGUAUUUGGAGCUAUUUUAUGAAAAGCAACCUAUUCUGCUUAUCUAUAUCAUUCAUGUUUUUUAUGCAUUUCAGUUCUUUUCAUCCUCAUUCUUUACCCUUUUGUCAUAGAGCUGUGUUUCUUUGUGGUUUUAAAAUAAAAUGGGUCCCUGUUUGUCUUGAGGUAAGGAAGAAAGCAGUUAGCCUGGGAGGAGGAGGCAGCCAUAUUGUAGCAGUGGACAGACGAGAAAGAAGGAGAGACUGGACUUGGCUCCUCUCCGAGCGGCUGAGUCUGGCUGUGUUUCAGUCACAUCUCCCCUGGACUCUUCAGUUACAGAAGGCGAAAAUUUCACUCAGCAGCAUUCAGACAACAAGGGCAACAACAGCAGACUUUUUUUGGGCUUUCUGUAAAAUUGGUUCCACUCUUCUGGUUUUCUUACGUUGAGUCUGUAUUGGGUUUUUAUAUAAGGAAUAGAACCAUUUUUCCUGGUGUAUUUUGUAUGAAGUCUAGCACUUUAUCAACUUUUUCCCCCCUGCAGUUAUAGCUGAAAAUUAUCUUUUUUAAAAAUGAUUUAUUUAUUUAUUUGAAAUGGGGAGUUACUGAGCGAGACAGAGACAGAGAGAGAGAAAGAACUCUUCCAUCUGCUGGUUUAGUCUUCAAAUGGCUACAACAGCCAGGCUGCGCCAGGCUGAAGCCAGGAGCCAGGGCUUCUUCUGGGACUCCUAUGUGGCUGCAUGGGCCCAGGGAUUUGACCCAUUUUCCUUUGCUUUCCCAUACUCAUUAGCAGGGAGCGGGAUUGGGAGUGGGGCAGCCAGGACUCCAAUUAGUGCCUACAAGGGAUGCUGGAGUACUACAGACUGUAGCUUAACCCACUAUGCUACAGUAUUGGCUAAAAGUUAUCUUUUAAAAAUAGUUUACAGUGGGGCUGGCACUGUGGAGUAAGGAGUAAAGCCACUGCCUCAAGUGUUGCUAGUUUGAGUUCAAGUAGGAGACCCAGAAGAAGUUCCUGGCUCCUGGCUUCGGACAAGCACAAUUCUAGCCUUCAUGGCCAUUUGGGGAGUGAACUAGCAGAUGAAAAGCCUUUCUCAUUCUCUCUCUCUCUCUCUCUCUGCAACUCUGCCUUUCAAAUAAAUAAAUACAUCUUAAAAUAAAUUUAGUGAUU
rnacentral:lncRNA from 1 species